CGACGUUCGGAGACACCGGUGUUUCGUCGGUGUGCGUUAGCUCCGGGCGUCGGAGGUGCUUCUUCUCCUACAUCUCGUUUUUAUUUUGCUUCAUCCCCUUGUCUCUCUUCUCUUUCGACAUGUCAACUCUCUGGUACGACUUUGAAAUCGGAACCCUAGAUCCUCCCGGGGGGUUAUAGAUCCGGUGGCUAAGGCCCGAUCUGGAGCUGAGACGAGGCGGAGAGGGUUGCAAGAUGGCUGGAGUCGGCUUUUGCGGUGGAGUCUCGCCAGAUCUACUUUUUCCUUUUUAGAUCUGGUCGUAGCCUUCGGCGGUGGUGGCGCGUGGGUAGUGAUAUUGACUCUUCCGGCCCGGAUCUUUCUGAUUCCAGCUUGGUGAGGUGUAGCAGUCGAAGGUUUCUCUCCCUAGCCUUGGUGUCUCGGCGUGGGCGCACCUUCUCUCUGCUCUCAAGGUGGGCUUGGCGCUUCUUCUCCAAGACGUGCGGUGGUGUAUUUUCUGGUGGCGGUGUCACUUGACAAAUCCCUCUGUCGUGUGCGAGGAUAUGGUCUGUUCCGGCGUUCGGGGAAUGGUUCUCAGGCGUUGGAUUUCCAUCUCUUCUCCCGAUCUUUGUCUUGCCUCUCCUGCGGUCCUGUCUAAUGGUGUUCCUCCUCCGGGUUUUGCGCAUCACCCGGUGUCUUGGUUCGAGUAUUGGUCUUCAAGUGGUGUUUGGCUCCGUUUCCUUCCGACGGAGUCUUCUUCUCUCUGCUUCAGUAAAGAACUUACUCUAGUUCUUAGGGUAAGAAUACGUGUGGAGUCUGGUCUUGCUUCGCGAGUCGUCGGAGCCGUCAGUUCCUCGGUUGUGGCGUAUUUUGGUGUUCAUCCAUCCCAGUGGUGUAGCGGUCUUAUGGCUGCUUUGCCAGGAUGAAACCUUUUCUUUUAGUGCAGUGACAGCAUUACAGCAAGAAGGCGAGGUUGGUUGCGAAAGCACCAAACCUGGAUUAACAAGCUAAGUGGUGAAGUUGAUGUCUGGCCCGGGGUUGCUAGCCACAACUCGACUGUGUCGUCUUUCGGAUUCGUAACUACAAAGCAUGGUUGUACCAAUUUUACUCAAUUUUGAGUUGUAAUGUUCUGUUGUAAAACCCCCUUUUGGGAGAAAUCAAUGGAAAUUGGACCUAGAAAAAAAAAAAAAAAAAAAAAAAAAAAAAAAAAAAAAUUUGAGUUUAUAUCUGUUCCUCAAGUUAAAGCUUAUGUUUUCAUCUUCCCCAGUUAGGUUUUAGUUUUCUUAAUUAAACGUACGGUGUUGGUUUCAACUGAUUUUGUUCUCGAAAAGUUUAUGUUGCUUGAGAGUUUUAGAACCAAGUCUAAAAGUGAUACUGCGUGUUGUAGCUUGCGUCUUUUAACAUCAUUGUGGUUCAAGGACUGUCAUUGUGGUCGUAGCUCUCAAGAUUGAACUUUGAUUAAAUCCUUCAAGAGAAGAAGUGGAAGCAAGGAAGCUUGCCACACAAGAAAAUGAACAAGAAGAAGAAUUGACCAAGGAGUCCCGUCGAAAAAGAAUAAAGAAGUGGAAGCAAGAGAUUGCUUACCACCCAAGGAAAGAAGAAGAGGAAAAAGCCAACUAAACUCUCUUCUCUCUCUACAUAAACACAAAAGAAACGUGAAAGAGUAAAGAGAAAGAGCAAGCUUGUGUUAAGAUGAAACACAAGUAAACAAAAACAGAGUGUGAGUGAUGUAAAACAGAGUGAGGGUGAGAGAAGCUCACCAAGUAUGAACAAGAGAAGAAAGAGAGGCUGGCCGUGAGAAUUAUGCAGUGUGAGAGGCCAAGCCAAGAGAAAAAGUUCAACAGUAGCUUGUUCUAGGACUAUCAUCAUUGUGGUUUAAGUGACGUUUUUAACUGGUAUUUAUGACAUUUGAUAGUGUUUCAAGUGUUGUUUUUAACUUGUUUUUCUACUGUUGUUGUGUUUGACGAGUUGAUUAACAACAUGACCCUGUAAGAAAAUAUGUCUUGCACUUGUCGUUGGAAGAAACAAAUAAAAUGACCCUUCAAGACACAUAGCAACAAGCAAACAUAGUUCACUUCAUUUUAAUGGUUCUAACGACCAUAACCUGAGCUAUAACAAAACACCAAAACAUGGUAAAACAUGGUACAGAUGAACUUAAUCGUAGUUAAUCUGAAACACCAAAACAUAGAUUCUAAAGCUGAGUUCCAAAAUUAAAAACAGAAAAACAGCAAGUUCUUAGAUGAGCCAACUUCAAGUGUGCUAAGGUGAUGUGAGUUCAGUGGCGAUCAAAAGUGUAACUAGGAUUAAGUUCAUUUGAAGUUUUGAACCAUAUAUAUACAUAACUUCAACUCUGUCACCAGACUAUAAGUCACCCUCUCCCGAACUUAGAGUUUCUCAAACUCUCACAAUCACCAAAUGAAACUCAAAACCCUUCUCUUUAAACAAUUAGGGUUUAUCAUCCUAUUCUCUCGUGGAAUUUUUAAGACACUUAAGAAUGUAAAAUUAAAUGAUAAACAACAUGACAUUUUGUUUAAACAUCGUACUGUUUUAUUGACAAAUCAUAUUGUUUUAAGACAUUUCCAAAAGCGGCGUUUGGUUUUAAAGUGACGAGUAACGGAGGGGCCAAUCUUAGGUUGGGGGUUUUUUUAAUGAAUUUUUAGUUCAGGGGUUUAUACCCAGAAUAAACUUAAUUGGGGGGCUUUUAUGUUAAAAAUCCAAAUUAGAACUACAACAUUAACAAAUUGGUGUAUUGUGAGAGUCCCUUAACUAUAUUUGGGAAGUGUAAUCUAUAACCGCGAUUUUAUGGACGAAACCCAAAGUUUCCUAGACUUUUAUAAGAGAACAAUAAAAAAGCAUUAACAUUUUUAAUUUUAAAAAGCUAAUCGUUUAUUUAUCACGAAAUUGUAGUUAUUUCUGUCACUGAACUGUAAACCUCAGUUUUAAAAUGUUAUUAUGCUUUUUGAGCUCAACACAAUUAUUUCAGUUGAUUGGAAUAAUUGAAGAUGCUUAUUGACAAUGUUUUAUCAGCCAUUAUUAAAGCCCGAAGCUGUAGCCAGUCAAGAGAAAUCAUUGACAAUGUUUCAGAUUCGGACUUUAGUUGGCUACAUUAAUUUAAAUUUACAAAAUGUCAUAUUUAAUAGAUAUCUGAUCUGCUCUAAAUUUUAUACUGGUAGAUUUUAUACUGAUAGAUGUAUCUAUAAUCAGAUAUCUGUAAAAUACAAAGUUCACAAAUACUAAACAAAUACGGUAUUGUAGAUACCGAAAUACUAUAACAUUUUUAAUUAUACUGAUAGAUGUAUCUAUAAUUAGAUAUCCGUAAAAUACAAAGUUCACAAAUACUAAACAAAUACGGUACUAUUUGAUAUGUGCACAGCUCUAACAAGGAAUGAACAUAUUUUACAUUGUUGGUUAUUAAGGUUAUUAUUUAUAAAGAAAAUAAAUUGGGAAUUGUGGAUAUUCUUCUAAUUUAUCCAUAAGCGAAUUUUCUAUAUUAUCAAAAUUAAAAUAAUUGAUUUCCUUUUUUUUAGAAAAAUUUGUAAGUUACUUUAGACACCGUUUUAAUUCAAAACAUAUAUGCACUUUUUUUUAACACUGAAAGAUUUGAUUACAUUAACUUGAACAGAUUACAUAAGCCGGAAAUUGAGUUAAUCCCGGAAUCAAAGCCGGCUGACAAACACAUCAGUCACCGGAAUCAUAAGCCCACACAUGGAAAUCAACUUGAAAGACAACUAAACUUAAAGGCUACAAAACCCAAAACUAAUUCAAAUAUAUGAAGAUCAAAAGAAACCCAGACAUCUUAGAACAACUACGCAUGUUGAUUCAAAGAAAAACCUUUGUGAAACACAAACGGUGGAGUCACCACAGGACCAAAACCACCGAGAAGGACCUCCUAUAGUGAAUAGCCCAGAAAUUUCAAAGAACACAGCUUCAAUCACCGGCAAGACAGAACAACAUACUGUUCCUACGCUUGACCGGAAGAGACAGAGUCGGAUAACACGACAUGCAACGCCACAAGGAAGCUUGACAAUAGGAUAGAUCUCGAUCAGAUCUGAAGAUAAAUGACAAGGAGCCAAUCUAAUCGACUCUGUAUUCAACCGAAAGGCAGAAGAUCGAUACAAAGCCGAUACAAAGAUACCUCAAAACCAACAUGCAGAAUCAUUCAACCCGAAGCUAGGGCUUCAAUAAAAUAGAUCUCAUCUAAAAUGAUUAGAAAGGGCAUGCACCAACAACCGAUUGAAACGCAGGAUGAUCAGCUCCAACUUCGAUCCCUUCGGAGAAGAGAUCUACUGUUAAGUAGAAGGAGGCAAAGGAGAGAUCAUCCUCGAUCAUCAUGGAAGAGACAAAAGGAUUAAACCUGACUCCGGCUCUGUGAACGCCGCCGGAGUCGGAGAACGAAGAUCUGAUUUUGUGACUUUCUAGAGAGAAGGCAGAGGUUAUAGAGAGAGAGAGUAUCAAUUAUUUCUGACUUAUUGAAAAACAUAUAUGCACUAUUCCUAUACAUAUGUACCUUUAUUAUGUUUCAAUUAGUAUGCAUGUCUGGUUACCCAAACUAACUCAAGCCUGAAUUAUAAAAUGUUUUUUUUAAUGUAAAAUGAAAAUUUAGUAUGCCGUUUUGAUGUAAAAUGAAAAAUUAGUAUGCAUAGGUAGAAAUUGUCUGAAUACAGCAUUUACAUGUUUAUUUGCUUGUUUAUGAAUUAACUGUUUUUAUAUUUCUUAUAUUAAAUUAAAUUAAUAAAAUUUUAAAAGUGAAGAAACAUUUUCGUUAUAUACUUCUUUGUAGAGAUUAUUGACCUAAGAUUAUUUUCUGUUCAAGUACACUUUAGACCUAGAUUAAACUUAAAGUACAGAAAAACACAAGUAAUUUAAUGAAUUUUCAGCCUAUAGCCAGUAUAUUUCGUGGGAGAACUACUAUUCCAAAUUUCAAUAAAUCAAAGAGAUUACACACACUAGAUACCUUGUGAUUUAGACUUAGGCUCAAGCUAUUUUAUCUAUUAUAUCGUUGUCUCAUUUUUUCUUAUGCUUUUUGUCUGGUUCCUAAUGUGUCAUACUUGUAAGUUUUUUCUUUGCUACAUGUUUCAAUUUACCUAAUUUACUCAAGAACCCAUACUACAUGCAUGAGUUUCGGACUGGGAUGUCAUAAACCUUGUUUUGGGCCAUCACAGCUAAAGAUGAGGUUCAACCUUGUUUUUUAUUCGGCUGACACUGGAACCAUGGCCAUCUCAAAAGGGAGGACCAGCAGUGCAAUGGCCCAGGGCCCAUCCCAAAAUCAAACAAAUUUAAUUAUAGAAACGGGUCCAAUAUUUUUUUGUUUUCUAGCAAGGACCCAUAAUAUUAUGUUUAAUCAUCUAUAAUUAAUUAAAAAAAUAUGUUCAGGAGACCAGUAAAAGUUUAAGCCGGCCCUGACUGGAACACACACAAAAUAUCCACUAUUUUGAUGCAGCCCAACAUGGCCCAACUCUGCCCAACUCUUAAGCCGACAGCCUAUGAAAUCUCUUUUUCUUUCUCGGGACUGAGAGAGAUCAGUCUAGACACUUCGUGUAUCUCUCUUCUUUCCAUGCGAAAGUUUGGCUCUCAACUAGCGUUUUCCCUCUCUUUUAUAGAAGAUUGUUUUAAUCCAUACAGUGAUUUUUGGAGUAAGCACACUUUGUUCUCAUCUCUUAUUUUUGAUAAAACCCUCUGGUUGGUUUACUAGAAUCCUUUCCUCCAAGCUUCCAUGCAAGAAGGCAGUUUUGACAUCUACAUGUUCUAGCUCAAAGUCUAGAUUAAGCCUUACAGAGAAACCCUUUUAAGUUGGCAAGGCGAUACAUAAUUUCUCUCUCUACAUUUGUGACUCAUUCUUGUAAACGAUGCGAUUUCCAUGUGUUUAGCCAUUGAAAUUGCUAGGACGUUUUUUCCCUCCAAAAGUUAUUAUAUUGAUUUGGUAAUUUUAUAAAUAUGUAUGUCGCUCGUAAUUUUUUUACAUCAACUGAAUUAUUAGAUUAUGGUCACCAAAAACAUUUUUCAAUUUCUUGGAAAAAGGUGGUUUGAGAUAAAAAAAAAAAUUAAAACAAGUUCUUAUAGACAUGUUUAAAAAAAACAUGAAAAAUUUCAUAAGAUAGCCCUUUUAGUUUAUUUUUAUAAAAAAAUAGUCUUCAAAAAGAAAAAUGACCAAAAUAAAUUUUAUUAAAGAAUAAAAAUACAUUUUAUUUUGGAUGAAAUUUCAAAUUUAUUGAACUAUCAAAAGAAUGUUAUGUACAACUCAAACCCUUUUAAGAACUGAAAAAAAAAAACUGUUCUAUAAAUAUGAUAUCUACUUCUAUGCUGUUACUUCAAACCAUCUUUUCAAUAACUCUUCUAGCUUACGGUUUGGCUUGUACUUGAGUGAACAAAUCAUGUUCUUCAUUGCCUUAUAUAUGACCCCUCACAAGCUGUCUGUGGAAGCUCUCGGCUUCUGGUGUCUUCUAGCAUUCAUUUCUCUCCAAAUAUGAUAGAUUGUAGUCUGGAAAAAGAGUCUAGCCAGACAUGAAUCCAUUCCUUUCACUCACAUUCUCUGCAAGCGCUGCAACGUCCACUGCCAGUCCGGAUUUAUUCCACUUCCUACAAGAUUCCGAUCCAAUAUCUUCCAUACUGUAUAGGUGUAAGGACAUGCAAAGAAAAAUGUGGUAUCUCGUCUCAUUUCUUUCUCCACAUAACUCAAAGAAUAAAAAUACAUUUAUAUCACAGAGUUAACUAAUCUAGACUUAAAGUUUAAAAUUAAGUGGUAGGAUUUUGAAGAUAAAAUUUCAAAUUAAAAAAAAAUACAUUAAAAAUUUAAAAUAAAAAGUUAUUUUGGUUAUUUUUUGUUUGAAAACUAUUUUUGUGACAAAAAAUUAAAAAUGACGAUUUAAAAUAAUUGUCGUUUAAACAUUGAUACUUGAUGCAUGUCUGCAUCAUGAAUCUUUGAUGGUACAUACUAAAUUUUUGUGUUGUUAUACUAAGAUAAUAACUAUUAGGUUCAAUGUAAAUUCCUUUCAAUGAUUGAUUUGUCGUCACGCUUAUUCGAAUCCCUAUUUGAAUUUCAACCGAACCACGCAAAUCAUUAACUGGUCUAAAGUGUUGAUUAACGUAAUAAUCCGAAUAUCUCUUUGCGGCUAAAACGAUUUUCUAUUACGCAUGCAAAUUGCGAAACUGUGAUUUUACUCUGUUCAUAAUUAUUGGUCAAAUACCUUUGGACCAUCAAUGUGACUUUUGUAGCGCGAUAGAUAUUGCCGACAAAAAAAAAAUUUAUUGUGAAAAUAAUUAAAUUAAUUAACUUUUGUAUUGUCGAAUUAAAUUGCUUAUCAGAUUCAUUAAUACCCAACUCGAUGCUUUAAUAGUAAUCAACUCCGACUGAGAAGAAGCUUCACCUUGACCUGACAAUGCUGAAUUAAACGCAUAUGGGGGAAACUGAAGGAAUCACACUGGAUUAGCAAAAACAUGUAUAUUGCUAGAAACACUUUAAAAAGGAUAAUUUGUAUUAUUUAUAGUUUAACAUAAUACAAUGAAAUCAAGAGAAAAAAAUACCACUUAUAAAAGGAAUAGUUACUUAAUUAGUUUUUUUUUAAAUUAAAAAAAACAGAGAUAAAAAAAUAAAA